GCGCCGGGAUGCGCUCUCCUCUUCUCAUUUGCCAAUUUAUUGCAGAUCCCUCCUCAAAAAAGUUUUGGGACUAACUCAGCCCCAUGGAGAUCAAGGUGAAUUAGAAAAACAACAAAACAAAACAAGAUUCAUUUUAACAUCUCAUUUUUCUAUCUCCAACUUUCCCUCCCCUCCUCCCACCCCAGGAAGAAAAGACUACGUUUGUUUCUGGUGAUACAUUCAUUGUAGGUGGGUGGGUGACUUCUAGAAGAGGAAAAUCAAGAAGAUUUGGAGAAGGAGUCUUGGAAGCUCUGGUGAAGUUUUCCAAAACUGGGAAGGACAGAGUCUGCUCAGCCUGUGUUAGUGGAGAAGAGGGAAGGAAACUGGCUGGAGGCCGCUGGACCCACAGAGGACAAUAGACAAUCUCCUGCUGAUGCCCACUGGAUCCAAAGAGAGAAACUCUAUAGAAUUAUGAUCUAGGUUUGACUGACUCCUGGCAAGAAGCCCUACCCGCCAGCCAAUUUGGAUGAGAUGCCAUCAGCGACCUGCCCGUAUCGCCUUGCCCCACCGAGAAGUCAGGCCACAGACAGUUCCUGUAUAUAGCAGUGCUUCUUUUGGCUUCUGUCUGUAGGUGUUUUCUCACCACAGAAGAGUGCUCAGCCCUCUGGAAGUUCUCUAAAGAGUUAGAUCUCCCAGGGGUGAUCAUCUAUCAAUGAAGGAUG
rnacentral:lncRNA from 1 species